UACGAAGGGGGCUAGCGUUGCUCGGAAUCACUGGGCGUAAAGGGCGCGUAGGCGGCCGAUUAAGUCGGGGGUGAAAGCCUGUGGCUCAACCACAGAAUUGCCUUCGAUACUGGUUGGCUUGAGACCGGAAGAGGACAGCGGAACUGCGAGUGUAGAGGUGAAAUUCGUAGAUAUUCGCAAGAACACCAGUGGCGAAGGCGGCUGUCUGGUCCGGUUCUGACGCUGAGGCACGAAAGCGUGGGGAGCAAACAGG
rnacentral:rRNA from 1 species